CGUUGCCUGCGGUGUUCGAGUUGGUCACAGAAACCCUUAGAACCUAAUAUACAAUCCCGGAUGCUGGUGUGAAUGGUGGGUGUGUAUGAACUCAGCGAUAAGCUGGCGGGAAUCCCAAAACCAGUCCUGGUAUCCACUUGAACCUUCUGGUUCAAGGUAAUGUGAACGCGCGGCACAGGUGGGUAACGC
rnacentral:other from 1 species